rnacentral:rRNA from 1 species
GCAGGCCUAACACAUGCAAGUCGAGCGGCAGCGGGAAAGUAGCUUGCUACUUUUGCCGGCGAGCGGCGGACGGGUGAGUAAUGCCUGGGGAUCUGCCCAGUCGAGGGGGAUAACUACUGGAAACGGUAGCUAAUACCGCAUACGCCCUACGGGGGAAAGCAGGGGACCUUCGGGCCUUGCGCGAUUGGAUGAACCCAGGUGGGAUUAGCUAGUUGGUGAGGUAAUGGCUCACCAAGGCGACGAUCCCUAGCUGGUCUGAGAGGAUGAUCAGCCACACUGGAACUGAGACACGGUCCAGACUCCUACGGGAGGCAGCAGUGGGGAAUAUUGCACAAUGGGGGAAACCCUGAUGCAGCCAUGCCGCGUGUGUGAAGAAGGCCUUCGGGUUGUUAAAGCUCUUUUCAGCGAGGAGGAAAGGUUGGUAGCUAAUAACUGCCAGCCUGCCGACGUUUACUCGCAGAAAGAAGCAUCUUGUUUUAACUCCGUGCCAGCAGCCCGCGGUUAAUAACCCCCCCCCCCCC